rnacentral:lncRNA from 1 species
GGCAUCAUACCACCGGAUCUCAAUCGAACCAUCAUAGCCCUAAUACCCAAGGUACCACAUCCUGAACGAUUAGACCAAUACCGCCCCAUCAGUCUUUGUAAUUAUGCAUAUAAGAUCAUUUCUAAGGUGAUUGCCAAUCGCCUUAAGCCCUACCUGCCUGUACUUAUUUCCCAGGAGCAAAGCGCUUUUGUCAGUGGACGUCAAAUUCAGGACAAUAUCUUAAUAGUCCAAGAGGUUCUACAUCAAUUUAAAGUCAGAAAAUGUAGACGUCAAUUCCGGGCUGUUCUUAAAAUGGAUAUGCAGAAAGCCUAUGACAGGGUGGAAUGGGACUUUCUAAAGGACUAUCUCCUCACUCUAGGAUUUCACCCUACAUGGGUACACUGGAUCAUGCAAUGCAUAACGACGGUGUCUUUUGCUGUCAAAUUCAACGGCGAACUUUUGCCUUAUUUUCAACCUACCCGAGGCAUCAGACAGGGAGAUCCCCUAUCUCCCUACCUUUUUAUCCUUCUGGCGAAUCUAUUAUCCCAUCUUAUUCAUCAAGCUAUCACCAUAGGUCAUCUCAAGGGAAUCAAACUGAACAGGUGGUGUCCCACUCUAUCCCAUCUAUUUUUUGCUGAUGAUGCUAUCUUCUUUCUAGACGGAAAAUUGCUUGAAUGUCGGAAUUUAGCGAACAUUAUAAAUCAAUAUUGUUAUGCUACUGGUCAAGCUAUCAAUAGAAAUAAAUCUAACAUAUUUUUCAGCAAAUUCUACCCUCUCAGUCUCCAAGAAAAUUUAGCUGGAGUGCUUCGAAUUCCAGUGGUUCAGAGGACGGGAAAGUAUCUAGGCAUACCAUCGGAUUGGGGCAGAUCUAAACGGGACAUGUUUGCUUGGAUUUUGGGGAGGGUGAAUGCCAAACUAGAGGGAUGGAAAGAAAGUCUGCUGUCUAAGGGUGGAAAGGAAAUAUUACUUAAAUCUGUCGUACAAGCGAUACCUCAAUAUGCCAUGUCCAUUUUUAGAAUUCCUACUUCUAUUUGUCGAUCCAUUGAACAGAAAGUUGCGAGGUUUUGGUGGCAGAAAGAUAGUACUAAAGCAAGUAUUCACUGGAAAAGUUGGCCUGUUCUUAAGCGUAGCAAACAGAGUGGGGGCCUAGGCUUUAGGGAUCUUCAAGAUUUUAAUAAAGCCAUGCUUGGGAAACAAGCAUGGCGAUUAGUUCAAAACCCAACGGCGCUAUGGAGUACACUUUUUAAAGGGCUUUACUUUCACUCUACUGAUUUUAAUCAUGCUGAAAGGGGAUCAAGACCUUCCUGGGGAUGGCGCAGUAUUCUAGUUGGGAGGGAGUCUAUUUUACCUCAUCUUCGCUGGUCAGUAGGAAAUGGACAGUCUAUUCAAGUCAGACAGGAUCGAUGGCUUCCGAGAGGAGUUAUCGGGGGCCCGGCUAAUCGGAAUGACCCAUUAUUUGUUACCGAAUUAAUGGACCCGGACAGUCACAAUUGGAACGUUCCUCUUCUGCACCAACAUUUUGAUGAUUCCACAGUCCAAGAAAUACUUAACAUCCAGGUUCGUCCUCAAUAUACUUCUGAUAGAAUUAUCUGGACAGGUACUACAAAUGGUACAUAUUCGGUGAAAAAAGGAUAUCAUACCCUUAGGAAUGCAACUCCCACUACUCAACAAAAUAUAGCAUCUUCGUCCUAUCACCCACCCAAAUCACUGUGGAAAGCUAUUUGGGCUGUGAAGCUUCCCCCUAAAAUCCGACCUUUCCUCUGGUCGGUCUGCCAUAACGCUUUAGCUACGAAAGCCAAUUUAUUCCAGCGGUGCAUCACUACAGAUUCCUAUUGCCCCAUCUGUUCAAACUUUAUCCCAGAAACUACAGAACACCUCUUCCUACUAUGUCCAUGGGCGCAACAUCUAUGGUCUCAUCCACAGAUUAACAUUCCCAUCACUCAGCAAUCAAUUACACGGAUAGAUGUGUGGUUAGCCGCUCAGCUAGAAGAACGGCGUACCUGUCCUGAUCUGCAAAUGAUUGCAGCUCUGUUGUGGCUAAUUUGGAAGGCACGCAACCGCUUUGUAUUUCAGCAACAACAUCCUGUUCAUCUUCAGGUUAUUCACAUGGCUUCUGCCCAGGUUCACGCUUACAAUCUCUCUGAUCCGUUGCCGCAGCAAUCAACCCGCUCAUCUCUGCAGCGAACGUCCCGCUGUUCUCUACAUCCUCAUUCACUAUGGCGACCACUAGAUC